rnacentral:rRNA from 1 species
CAGCCGCCACGGUAAUACAGAGGGUGCGAGCGUUAAUCGGAUUUACUGGGCGUAAAGCGUGUGUAGGUUGUUGUUCAAGUCAGUUGUGAAAUCCCUGGGCUCAACCUGGGAACUGCUUCUGAGACUGAACGACUAGAGUACGGUAGAGGGUGGUGGAAUUUCCGGUGUAGCGGUGAAAUGCGUAGAUAUCGGAAGGAACAUCAAUGGCGAAGGCAGCCACCUGGGCCUGUACUGACACUGAGACACGAAAGCGUGGGGAUCAAACAGGAUUAGAUACCCGAGUAGUCCCUGUCUCUUAUAC